UACGUAGGGGGCAAGCGUUGUCCGGAAUCAUUGGGCGUAAAGCGCGUGUAGGCGGCCCGGUAAGUCCGCUGUGAAAGUCCAGGGCUCAACCCUGGGAUGCCGGUGGAUACUGUCGGGCUCGAGUCCGGAAGAGGCGAGUGGAAUUCCUGGUGUAGCGGUGAAAUGCGCAGAUAUCAGGAGGAACACCAAUGGCGAAGGCAGCUCGCUGGGAUGUGACUGACGCUGAGACGCGAAAGCGUGGGGAGCAAACAGG
rnacentral:rRNA from 1 species